rnacentral:lncRNA from 1 species
AGCGCCCUCUAAAGUGGAAACUUUUAAGGGUUUAGAGGGCGUUUUUACUGGAAAGCGCCCUCUAAAGUGGAAAUUUAAAGGGUUUAGAGGGCGCUUAUUUUGGAAAGCGCCCUCUAAAGUGGGUGGUUAUUUAAAUUUUUUUUUUAAAAAGCGCUAUAUUUUUUUAUUUAUUUUAGACAACCUGUAUAUUGAAGCAGUACACCCAAAACUGUAUAAUUUGAAGCCCUUUUUCACACAUUGCAUUCAACAAGCCUUAUAUACAACAAUCCAUACAUAUACAACAAUCCACUGAUAUAUAAUCGUUUAACUUCUA